GCCGGGUAUAGUGGCGGGUGCCUGUAAUCCCAGUUACUGGGGAGGCUGAGGCAGGAGAAUCGCUUGAACCCAAGAAGUGGAGGUUGCAGUGAGCCAAGAUUGUGCCACUGCACUCCACCUGGGGUACAGAGCAAGACCCUGUCUCUA
ensembl:misc_RNA Metazoa_SRP Metazoan signal recognition particle RNA